rnacentral:rRNA from 1 species
CUUGCGGGCUUUCUACCAUGCAAGUCGAACGUGAUCCGCCCUUCGGGGUGGUGAAAGUGGCGCACGGGUGAGUAACGCGUGGAUAAUCUGCCCGAGGAUUUGGGAUAACAUCUCGAAAGGGGUGCUAAUACCGAAUAAGCCCACGGGGUCUACGGAUCUUGCGGGAAAAGGGGGGGACCUUCGGGCCUCCUGUCCUUGGAUGAGUCUGCGUACCAUUAGCUAGUUGGUGGGGUAAUGGCCUACCAAGGCGACGAUGGUUAGCUGGUCUGAGAGGAUGAUCAGCCACACUGGAACUGAGACACGGUCCAGACUCCUACGGGAGGCAGCAGUGGGGAAUUUUGCGCAAUGGGGGAAACCCUGACGCAGCAACGCCGCGUGGGUGAUGAAGGCCUUCGGGUCGUAAAGCUCUGUCUGGAGGGAAGAAAUGAUUGGGAGCUAAUACCUCUUGAUCUUGACGGUACCUCUGAAGGAAGCACCGGCUAACUCCGUGCCAGCAGCCGCGGUAAUACGGAGGGUGCAAGCGUUGUUCGGAAUUAUUGGGCGUAAAGCGCGUGUAGGCGGUCUUUUAAGUCUGAUGUGAAAGCCCCGGGCUCAACCUGGGAAGUGCAUUGGAAACUGGGAGGCUUGAGUACGGGAGAGGAGAGUGGAAUUCCUAGUGUAGGAGUGAAAUCCGUAGAUAUUAGGAGGAACACCGGUGGCGAAGGCGGCUCUCUGGACCGAUACUGACGCUGAGACGCGAAAGCGUGGGUAGCAAACAGGAUUAGAUACCCUGUAGUCCACGCCGUAACGAUGAGUACUAGUGUUGCGGGUAUUGACCCCU